CUACGGUGAAUACGUUCCCGGACCUUGCACACACCGCCCGUCAAGCCAUGGAAGCCGGGUGUACCUAAAGCGGUAACCGUAAGGAGCCGCCUAGGGUAAAACUGGUGACUGGGGCU
rnacentral:rRNA from 1 species